CCCUUAGAUGUUCUGGGCCGCACGCGCGCUACACUGAAUGCUACCACACGACGAUACACCCUUGUCCGAUACGGUCAGGGAAAUCGUUUAAAAUGCAUUCUACGUGAUGGGAAUGGAGUAUUGUAAUUUGUACUCCUGAACGAGGAAUUCCUAGUAAUCGCAAGUCAACAGCUUGCGUUGAUUACGUCCCUGCCCUUUGUACACACCGCCCGUCGCUACUACUGAUUGGAUGUUUAAGCGAGGUUCUCGAACUGCUAGCGACUUAGCUUCGGUGAGGUCGCAGUGUGGGAAGUGAACCUAGCUUUGGUGUCUAGAGGAAGUAAAAGUCGUAACA
rnacentral:rRNA from 1 species